UGACUGUUAUUUUAAAGAGAGUCCUAUCAGUCAUAUAACUGUUUGUAAACCUCUCAGUAUGUAUCUUUAAUACCAUAAUUACUCUUUAAUUACUCUUUUCUCUCUCUCUUUUUUUUAGGGGGUACCGGGGAUAGAACUCAGGACCUUGUGGUAUUAUUACUCUUUUAAAAAAGCGCCAGAUUCCAGUAUUAUCAGAUAACCAGUCUCAGAGCUAUUCCACUAUUUUCUCAAACAUGCCCCAGGUGGAAUUUGACAUUAUCCACGUACCUGAUGUCCCUGUGUUCCCUUUUAUCAGAAAUGCCACUUACUCUUCUGCUUUCAUGACCUGACUCCAAAGUGCAAUGUUUUCUACACAGAAAUCAGGUGAUAUUUUCCCACAGUAUAUCUUAGCAAAAGACAUGCAGUGAGGUAAGUUGUUUUUUUUUUAAUGGUGCAAACCUCUGG
rnacentral:lncRNA from 1 species